UAUUCAAAAUGGCGUUUCGCUAAGAGGUUAAUGCUGAUGACACUCCAGUUUUCAUCAAUAAUAGUAGUGAAACAAGUGAAGUAACGAGUGCUUGUUGUGAUAAAUUUAAAGUAGAACUACAAAAGACCUAAAUAGAACUCAGAUCAGCACAAAAAAUUAUUUAACUGCUACAAGAAAAGAUGAGCUUAAACACGCCCAAUCGGACCCGCCAGAAGAAGUACUGUCCAACAUCAAGAUUGAACCCGAUGACAGCACACUGGAGCUACAGAUUGCCCUCAAGAAAGCACGAAGUCUGAAGCUGCAGGAGGCUGUUACAGAAUCAAAGAACAGUAUAGAAAAGGUGGCAGAGUCAGUACUGGAGAGAAACUCAGAAGGAAACACGGAAGGUGGUUCCAUUGUGCUGAAUGGUACAGCAGAAUUCUGCCGUAUGUUGGAUGACAUCGCCACGUAUGGUCUGGCUGGCAACAGGGAUGAAGACACUCAGGAACUACUUAUGAGUGCAAUAUAACCAUCCACAGAUAAAUGUACACUUGGCAAGGCACUUUGAUUUAGAAUGUGUCAACACUGGAUACAGUCCAUUGCCCAUGUAGAGUUAUUUACUUGCAACUGCAACAGAAUUUGAAUAUAUUUUAAUCACAGUUGAAUUUCAUGAUAAUGGAUAUAUAAAUCACUGAACUGAGUACAGAACUGGAAACAUCAAAUAAAAGAUCCUAGAAAUGA